CCUACGGGAGGCAGCAGUGAGGAAUAGUGGUCAAUGGGCGCGAGCCUGAACCAGCCAAGUAGCGUGAAGGAUGACUGCCCUACGGGUUGUAAACUUCUUUUAUAAAGGAAUAAAGUGAGGCACGUGUGCCUUUUUGUAUGUACGUUAUGAAUAAGGAUCGGCUAACUCCGUGCCAGCAGGCGCGGUAAUACGGAGGAUCCGAGCGUUAUGCGGAUUUAUUGGGUUUAAAGGGAGCGUAGAUGGGUUGUUUAGUCAGUUGUGAAAGUUUGCGGCUCAACCGUAAAAGUGCAAUUGUUACUGGCAGUCUUGCGUACAGUUGAGGUCGGCGGACUUCGUGGUGUAGCGG
rnacentral:rRNA from 1 species